rnacentral:rRNA from 1 species
GUUGUAUGGUUAAGUGACUAAGCGUACACGGUGGAUGCCUUGGCAGUCAGAGGCGAUGAAAGACGUAUUAACUUGCGAUAAGCCCAGAUUAGGUAGUAAAAACCAUUUGAGUCUGGGAUUUCUGAAUGGGGAAACCCACGUGCAUAAGCACGUAUCAUGCAGUGAAUACAUAGCUGUAUGAGGCGAACUCGGGGAACUGAAACAUCUAAGUACCCGAAGGAAAAGAAAUCAAUUGAGAUUCCGGCAGUAGCGGCGAGCGACCCCGGAUUAGCCCUUAAGCG